rnacentral:rRNA from 1 species
UACGAAGGGGGCUAGCGUUGUUCGGAAUUCCUGGGCGUAAAGCGCGCGCAGGCGGUCCUUCAAGUCAGAGGUGAAAGCCCAGAGCUCAACUCUGGAACGGCCUUUGAGACUAGAGGACUUGGGUGCGGGAGAGGUGAGUGGAAUUCCGAGUGUAGAGGUGAAAUUCGUAGAUAUUCGGAAGAACACCAGUGGCGAAGGCGGCUCACUGGCCCGUUACCGACGCUCAGGCGCGACAGCGUGGGGAGCAAACAGG